GAUGAAGAACGUAGCGAAAUGCGAUACGUAAUGUGAAUUGCAAAUUCAGUGAAUCAUCGAGUCUUUGAACGCACAUUGCGCCCCCUGGUAUUCCGGGGGGCAUGCCUGUCCGAGCGUCAUUGCUGCCCUCAAGCACGGCUUGUGUGUUGGGCCCCGUCCUGCGAUCCCGGGGGACGGGCCCGAAAGGCAGCGGCGGCACCGCGUCCGGUCCUCGAGCGUAUGGGGCUUUGUCACCCGCUCUGUAGGCCCGGCCGGCGCUUGCCGAUCAACCCAAAUUUUUAUCCAGGUUGACCUCGGAUCAGGUAGGGAUACCCGCUGAACUUAAGCAUAUCAAUAAGCGGAGGA
rnacentral:misc_RNA from 1 species